rnacentral:rRNA from 1 species
GGGUUGUGAGGUUAAGCGACUAAGCGUACACGGUGGAUGCCCUGGCAGUCAGAGGCGAUGAAGGACGUGCUAAUCUGCGAAAAGCGUCGGUAAGGUGAUAUGAACCGUUACAGCCGGCGAUGUCCGAAUGGGGAAACCCAGUGCAAUUCGUUGCACUAUCGUUAACUGAAUACAUAGGUUAACGAGGCGAACCGGGGGAACUGAAACAUCUAAGUACCCCGAGGAAAAGAAAUCAACCGAGAUUCCCCCAGUAGCGGCGAGCGAACGGGGAGCAGCCCAGAGUCUGAAUCAGCUUGUGUGUUAGUGGA